rnacentral:tRNA from 1 species
GGGGCUUUAGCUCAGCUGGGAGAGCGCCUGCAUGGCAUGCAGGAUUCUAGUGGCCUAGGACACCGCCCUUUCACGGCGGUAACAGGGGUUCGAGUCCCCUAGGGGACGCCA